AGAUUACUUGGCCAAGGGUGGCAAGAGCGAGUCUUUUGCAGCUUCAGGAUUAGAUUGCACUGAUAUUCCAAAUGCGCAGAUAAGAAAGGUUACUGCAGACCGCCUCUUAGCCUCUAAACAAACCAUCCCACAUUACUACUUGACAGUUGACACACCCGUCGACAAACUUAUCAAGU